rnacentral:rRNA from 1 species
CUACGGGCGGCUGCAGUGAGGAAUAUUGCACAAUGGGGGGAACCCUGAUGCAGCAACUCCGCGUGGAGGAUGACGCAUUUCGGUGUGUAAACUCCUUUUAUAUGUCAAGAAAAUGACGGUAGCAUAUGAAUAAGCACCGGCUAACUCCGUGCCAGCAGCCGCGGUAAUACGGAGGGUGCAAGCGUUACUCGGAAUCACUGGCGUAAAGGACGCGUAGGCGGGUUGGAAAGUCAGGUGUGAAAUCCUACAGCUUAACUGUAGAACUGCACUUGAAACUUCUAAUCUAGAGUAUGGGAGGGGGAGAUGGAAUUAGUGGUGUAGGGGUAAAAUCCGUAGAUAUCACUAGGAAUACCUAAAGCGAAGGCGAUCUCCUGGAACAUUACUGACGCUAAGGCGUGAAAGCGUGGGGAGCAAACAGGAUUAGAUACCCCCGUAGUC